GGGUAAUGAUGUUUAAUCCUAUUCCAUUACUGAAAGGACAGUGUGGAGAAAAAAAUAUGCUGAACCC